GCCAUCAUAUUGGAUGCAAAUUAGAUGAGAAAAGGGGGCCCUGUUAAUAUUUUGAGGGGAGUUCGAGAUAUAUAUAAAAAGAGAGGCGGCAAUUAGGAGUUGUAGACAGCAAUUUUAAGGCGGCUAUUAUUUUAGGGAGGCAAUACCCCAUAAAUAUAUACGUAACAUCAAACGGCUGCUAUAUAUUAUUAUUAUUAUUGUUGGAGAACGAGGAGAAUAAUUUUUUUUUAGGCAACCGAUCAAGAUUUUCGAGAAGCACGAAGGGAACUUAGACGGAAGAAUAGAAGCAACAUCGAAGCAAUACACGACCAGACAUCAGCCGCACAUCAGGGGAACGGACAGCUUCUUGGACGAAUUGGAAUAUUAUUUUGAAGGGAGCAAGCUCAAGAGUUAUUGGGAUUAAAGUGGGAAGCUUAGAGAUCAAGGAAUUUACGGGUUCUACCUUACGAUUUCUUUUAUUUUCUAUUUUUCUUAUUUUACUUCAAUGAAUUCUUGUUCUAGACUUUUUGUUUUUACUUUUUAGACCAUGAUUCUUGGCUAAACCCAGGGUCGGCUAAGCCCAUGUGUAGAGUGGGCCUGUGCAUAGGGCCCAAACCAGCAUGGGGCCAAAAAAAAAAAACGAAAAUUCUGUAUGUUCUUAUAUAGGCCCACGGUUUUAAUGAAUAGAAAUAGGCCCAAAUACAAACAAUAAGGGCCCAGAUGAUUGAAAAAAAUUCACGCACAGGAGGGACGAGGGAAAGUGGGAUUUGGGAAACAAAAAGACGCUGAUCACGCACAGGAGACAAAAGGUCGACGCUGAAUCGCUGAUCAGUUCCUAAUUCCUUAUCAGUAUUGCACGCACAGGAGACAAGGAUUUCGGAAUCGAAUCAGAUUAUCGGAGUAUAUCAGUCGCAAAUCGCAAUUAUCAUCAGUUUGAGAAUCGGAGGUAUAUCAGUCGCAAUUAUCAUCAGACAUUCAGACUUUCGGAAUCGGUCAUCGGAGAAAGAAGUUUCUCAAAGUUGAAGUUGUUGAAGACCUAUUUACGUUCUACAAUGUCACAAGAAAGGCUAAACGGGUUGGCGACAAUUUCUAUUGAAAGUGAAAUAUUAGAUACUAUGGAUUACAAGGAGUUGAUCGAGAGCUUUGCUUCAAAAAUCGCUAGAAGAACCACACUUUUCGCUUAGCAAGAUUAAAUGAGCUCAAAUGAACAAAAGAAGCAAAAAGACAGCUAAAUCUGACAUAAAUACAAGAAAAGGAAUAAACGAGGCAUGUCCGACCCCCUGAUAGCAUCUUCCCAAGCAAAAACAAGAGAACAGAAGGCUGAACACGCCCCGUGCUCAAUGAGCACGGGGGCGUGCCCAAGUUUCUGCAGAAAAGACAAAGUUAUAGAAGCUUCUAUCACCCACCACGGGGGCGUGCCCAGCGGACACGGGGCCAUGGUAAACUCUAAGAUUCGCAGAAUCUGAGGAAAUCUUGAUAGUACAGAUACGCUUCUGCACACGGGGUCGUGCCCAACGGACACGGGGGCGUUGUCAACUAAUGCAGACAAACUACAAUUAAUGAAGAAAGAGAAGAUGGGUGGACAUGGGGCCGUGCCCAAUGGACACGGGGCCGUGUCCGGGCUUCUGUGCAGGCUAUAAAGGUGCUUGGCUCAUUUGCAAACCAUCCCUUGGCACACCACCUCUCUCACACUUCACCCACACUCCACCACCACCACCACAACACCAUCAUCCACCACCAUCAUCCAUCAUAGAGUGUGUGAGUAGUCUCGGGAUCCAAGAUUGAUCGUAAGAGUUCUUGACAAUCAAAAGCCAUGUUUGCCUAAGUCUCUUACAUCACUUGGUCAAGACAAGUGUCUAGUGUAAUACUUUUUAUUUUUAAUCUUUUCGCAUUUUUUAUUUGGUUAUGUAUUAAUGACUUUAAUAACUAGUUUCUUAUGUUGAAGGUGA